rnacentral:rRNA from 1 species
GAUGAACGCUGGCGGCGUGCCUAAUACAUGCAAGUCGAGCGAACGGACGAGAAGCUUGCUUCUCUGAUGUUAGCGGCGGACGGGGGAGUAACACGUGGAUAACCUACCUAUAAGACUGGGAUAACUUCGGGAAACCGGAGCUAAUACCGGAUAAUAUUUUGAACCGCAUGGUUCAAAAGUGAAAGACGGUCUUGCUGUCACUUAUAGAUGGAUCCGCGCUGCAUUAGCUAGUUGGUAAGGUAACGGCUUACCAAGGCAACGAUGCAUAGCCGACCUGAGAGGGUGAUCGGCCACACUGGAACUGAGACACGGUCCAGACUCCUACGGGAGGCAGCAGUAGGGAAUCUUCCGCAAUGGGCGAAAGCCUGACGGAGCAACGCCGCGUGAGUGAUGAAGGUCUUCGGAUCGUAAAACUCUGUUAUUAGGGAAGAACAUAUGUGUAAGUAACUGCGCACAUCUUGACGGUACCUAAUCAGAAAGCCACGGCUAACUACGUG